CAAACAUGGAGCAUUUCAAGUGGACACAAAUUUCGGGCGAUGCUGUUCCAGUGACUACCUCCAACACCUGUGGGAAACGCACCAUGGCCCGGUCCCAGCAUCCCUCCUCCAGCCUUUCCACUGCUGGGAUCAGAUCACUUUUGAGCUGAACAUCGCACAGUGACAGGGUGACCCCCGUUGGUGUAAGGAAAUGGAGCAAUUCAUGAGUAAUGGACCGUUUCCUGACAUGCAUAUGCUGCAGCCCAUCUUUUGUUCUCGGAUCUUCAGGGACUAUCUCUUAUCAUAGGUCUCUCCCCCUAUGGAGAAAUGCUUGGAGAUUGCUUUAGGUAACACAGCAGUGGGUAACUGUCAAAGCCAGCUUAAAUUAAGGGAUCUUUUCAGCAGUUCUGAGUAUGCCAUUCGUAGACAACUGCAGGGGUAAAUGAUUUAACUCACCUUCGAAGAGCUUUAGGCUUAGAAAUGCUUGGGUUUCAGGCCUAUCUCACAAAUAGGGACCACCACCUUGUUGUCAUGAGCACCUGACACUCCCAUUGGAAACCACGGGGCUCCGUUUUAUGAUCUUUGCAGGAAAUACCACUUUGAGGGCUGAAUUCAUGACCAAACAGAGAAGGCCAAACCCUUGCUGUUGCCCUGUGCAUCAGGGGAUGUCCAUCUCUUCUACACAAACAGAUGGCACUGGAACAACGGGUCUCCGUGCACGAGGCUUUGUGGAUGCUCAGUUCACAGCGAGCAUAAGACAAAGUAAAACCAGACUGAAAACUUUCAUUACCCAGCGAUGCAAGUCACAACGGCAGGGUUAAAUCUGUUUCUAUUUAGACGAUAUCUGGAACAGCGUUUUAUUAUACAGCCUGUAAAGCACUGCCUGUGCAUGGGUGGAAAGUACAUUGUCUCCUUAAAUAAAGAACUGGGGCCGGAUUGUUUGGCACUUUCUUUUUUUCUUCUUGUUUUUGCUUUAACCAUAAACACAAAGUAACCAUUUCUCCAUAACAUUGAACUCUUUGUGGCCUUCCUAGAAACAAUAAAAGCACCCAAAAAUAAACAACUACUUAGAAUAAAUAUUAACUCGGGGACCUUUAAAACAUGAAGAAAGCUGUCUCCGCAAUAUCGUCUCUUCCCUGAUAAUGCAAAAGCCAC
ensembl:lncRNA